GCCAGGUGUGGUGACACAUGCCUGUAAUCCCAGCUACUUAGGGAGGCAGAGGCAAGAGGAUCACAAGUUUGAGUGGUGUUGGCAACUUAGCCAGACCCUGUCUCAA
rnacentral:sRNA from 1 species